CUGCCCCCCCUCCCCGCCUCCCCGAUCCGGGCCCGGCCCUGCCCCCCUCCACCAGCACCCAGCCUGCCUUUUGUUCUCUCUCCCUCUCUCCCUACCCCCCUCUGAGUAAGGAGGGGGGAGCCAUGGGGCAGCCUGCCUCUGCCCUCCCCCCACAUCUGGAAGGUGCCCUGCUCCCGCCCUGCUCCCGCCCUGCUCCAUAAUAGACAUCCCCCCAAGGGUGGGCCCGCAGUGCCUGGGGGGGGCACAGCUGGAGGGGGGCUAGGUGUGUGGAGGAGCAGGGGGUCAGAGGCAGGGGGUAGGGGAAAGGGCUGGGGCUGGGACCCUAGGACCCAGCAGUAGACAUCCAGGGGGGAAUCAGCUGGUCCUGGCCCAGGGGGAGCUGGACACUCUCCAAACAGGAAGCUUCAUAUGGCCACAGAGGAUGGGGGGCCAUUUGUGACCGGUCUAACCUGGCCAGCCCGGACACCAGCUGAUGUUUGUCUCUGUUUCUGUCUUUGUCUCUCUGUCUCUGUCUUUAUCUCUGUCUGUCUUUGUCUUUUUCUCUCAGUCUCUGUCUCCAUCUUUGUCUCUGUCUUUGUCUCUUUCCAUCUCUGUCUCUGUCUCUAUCUUUGACUCUCUGUCUCUGUCUUUAUCUCUGUGUCUUUGUCUUUUUCUCUCAGUCUCUGUCUCUGUCUUUGUCUCUUUCCAUCUCUGUCUCUGUCUCUAGCUUUGACUCUCUGUCUCUGUCUUUAUCUCUGUGUCUUUGUCUUUUUCUCUCAGUCUCUGUCUCUGUCUUUGUCUCUUUCCAUCUCUGUCUCUGUCUCUAGCUUUGACUCUCUGUCUCUGUCUCCAUCUGUUACUGUCACACACACACACACACACACACACACACACACACACAAACAGGGAGCUGGGCCCAGAACUAGACCACAGGAAGCCCCCAGUGUGGGGCUGGCUGGGAUCCCAAGCCGCCCCCUGCGCGCCUGCCUCCUCUGAGUCACGCUCCCAGACUCUCCUGUUGUCCUCCAGCCUCGGAGCUCCAUUCCUUGGCCUCCGGCCAUCUGGUCCAAUCUCCUGCGGCCUCUGGCCCUUCCUAUAUUUCUGCUCUUCAGCUGGGAUUCUCCUGGCUUCCUCCGGCCUCUUUUCUCCUCCUUGGGCCUGAAUUCUCGGAUAACCCUCCUCUGACCUGUUUCUUAGGGUCCCCUCUGGCCUCUGACUUCUCCCUCUGCCUGGUGCCCUCUGCCUCUGAUCUCUGACUGCCCCCACUCGCCUUCAGACCCUUCUCCCGCCUCUGGCCUCCUCUGGCUGCUGCUGGCGGACUUCCCAACUUAUGCUCCACAUAAACAAGGGAUAAGUCACAUGAGUGCCCAAAGUAAGAAGAAGCAUCUCAGUCCGGUUUCUGUAGCUCUCAAAGGUGCACCCAUUGUCUCCAGCUCCUUCAUGUGGACACAGGCUUUCCACUGCUACAGGUGGCCAGCCCUCCAGGUCUUUGAGGCCUGUCUCUCCCUCCCUAGGAUUCCAGGUCAAGUUGUCCUGCAGAGCCUCUCCCCAAGGUCUGGUGCUGGUGCCCACCCCCCAAACUGAUGAGCCGAAGGAAGGACCCCUCCCUCCAAGAUGGAGGGCCCAUCUUGCCACGUCACCGGCCUGUCUCCUCGGGAGGCAUUGAGGUGAAGCACGCUGGUUCUGCCAGUGACUCACUGUGUGACCCUGGGCAAGUUCCUCACCCAUCAGAGGAGGGUGGUCAUCCGCAUAGGCUUAGUCUUCCAGCCCUGGCUCUUUAGUUUCCUCGCGGGCAUCCCUCACGGUGGCAGAUCGCUCUCGGCAGAUCACUCUCGCCGGCUCUCUCUGCUGACCUGGGCCCACACGGACUCCGUCGUUCUGUGGAUUCCCGGCAUUCUGGCCUCUGUUGUAGCUCAAGAGUCCCGGCUGCCCAGCCACGGGAGCCGUCUCCAGGGAAUGGGCUAGAGGAGAGGAGCAGUUUGUGACAGAAUACUCCCAAAGGGUACGCUCUCCAGAAGACCAGUCGUAAUUGGAGAAAUGUGCAGAAGAGGCUGCCGCUUCCUCUCCGCAGACCCGCAAAGGUGGCCCAGGAGGCUGGGCCGGGGCACCCCUCCGUCCUGCUCUGUGCCCCUGGGCUCCAGGGCCCCAAUCCCACCCCUGGGGACGAGUUAUCCAAAACUUCUCCAGAUCUUCGCAAAAAGAAAUUCGAGGGUCUUUGCUAAGAACAGCACACGUCUGCAGACUCCCCGAAGGUCCACAAAGCGCUUCAGAGGGGAUUUCCCUCAAUCCUUGCAACCCCGGGAGGUGGGUGCCAUUCCAGCGCCAGUUUGGAUGAGGCCGACUGACUUGCCUCAGGUUCCCAAAGCUAGAAGUGUCUGAGGCCACAUUUGAACUCAGAUCUUUGUGCGUGCAGGCUCGUGCUCUGUGCGCUGUGAUGUCAGCAUCAUGUGAGUAUGAAGGACAGGCAUUUAUUUCCUAUACAGAAGUGCUAAAGAUUGGGAUACUCCCAGAAUAUAAUAGGGCAGCUUAGCGGCACAGUGGGUAGACAUUGGGCUUGGAGUCAGGAGAACCUAAGUUCAGAUCCAGCCUCAGAUACUAGCUGUGUGACCCUGGGUGAGUCACUUAAUCGAGUCUACCUCAGUUUCCUCAUCUGUAAAACGAGCCAGAGAAGAAAAUGGCAAACCAUUCCAGUGUCUUUGCCAAUUCCCUGCAGAGAAGUCUCAAAGAGUCAGACGGGACUGAAGAUAAUGAAACAACAAAGAAUACACAGGAAAAAAAAAAGACAAAGCAAUUCCCCGUCAGACAUGGGCAAAAAUCUAAAAGCGGAGGUCGCCUUCUGCCGCCUCCAUCAGCAGCUGAAGAGCUGCCUCUGGUGAAUCCUUCGCCAUCACAAUGGGUCUGCGUCCAUCCGGGUUUUUCAGUCUCCAACUUGUCUUUGCGCUGUUGCUUUUAUUUUAUCAAUAGUUCUUCUUGAAUGCACCUGCUUAACCUAUAUUGGAUUACUCAAGAGAACGGGGCUGGGGGGAAGGGAGGGAGAAAAACACAAGGUUUUGCAGGGAUGAAUGUGGAAAACUAUCGUUACAUGCAUUUUGAAAAUAAAGUCCCCAAAGUGGUUCUUUUUCUGCUCGCUUCA